rnacentral:rRNA from 1 species
GGUCAAGUUAUUAAGGGUGCAGGGCGGAUGCCUUGGCACUAGGAGCCGAUGAAGGACGUGAUAAGCUGCGAUAAGCUUCGGGGAGUUGCACGUAAACUUUGAUCCGAAGAUUUCCGAAUGAGGAAACUCACUUAGAGUAAUGUCUAAGUAUCAUUAAGUGAAUACAUAGCUUAAUGAGGGGAACUCAGGGAACUGAAACAUCUAAGUACCUGAAGGAAGAGAAAGAAAUUCGAUUCCGUAAGUAGCGGCGAGCGAACGCGGAUUAGCCCAAACCAAUAAAGUUUUCUUUAUUGGGGUUGCGGACAUAUCAUAACGAAGAGGUAUCGUAAUUGAAGAGGUUUGGAAAGACCCACCACAGAAGGUAAUAGUCCUGUAUGUUAAACGAGAAGACUUU